GGGGCCCUGACUCAGUGGUAGAGCAUCUUCUUGUCAUGCAGAAGGUCCUAGGUUCAACCCCCAGCAUCUCCA
rnacentral:tRNA from 1 species